UUCUUCUGUAGGUUUUAUCAUGGUUUCAUCUAUCAUUUGUCUGUAAUCGUGGUCUUCUCAGUUCUCUACUCUGUUUUUGCAUUACAGUGUUUUCUGGAAAAGGAGCUAGAGCAACUCGUGCACAAGGACCCCCACCAUUGCCUUCAUGAACACACGUGCACAGGCUGUCAGAAACAAUGAGCCAAGAGUCUACAGCUGAAAGGAGUCGAAGUUCAUUGAGACCAAGAGAAACGCAGAGAAGACAGGAAAGAGAAAACAAUGAUGGUGAGAAUGAGACAUAUUCAUGAAGAUAUAAAGACAAACAUCUGUCCGGUGUAGUUGUGCUCAUUGUUUGUGGUUUCUCAGCAGACACCUGGAGUUUAAGUUCAGUGAGAUCAAGAGGACGACCGAGAGGAGAAGACAGAGAUCAGGGGGAGUUUUAGUACUUAGUUUUAAUACUUCAUAAACAUAAAUACUUUCUAAAUGUAAAUAGUAUAGAUGCAGCUGUGCAGAUUAAAAUGUAAAUAUGAUUUAAAUCAUUAAAAACUUAAAUACUUAAAUACUUACUAAUACUGAUUAGAAUUACUAACGAGAAAAUGUCAUGAAAAUGUCAAUGCAAAAAAAAAUAUAAAUUUUCUUAUUUUCCUCUUUUUCUUAUAAAAAAGGAAUUUGAUUCUGGAGUGAAAUAUGACCUAUCCUGACAUCC
ensembl:lncRNA